rnacentral:rRNA from 1 species
GAUGAACGCUGGCGGCGUGCCUAAUACAUGCAAGUCGAGCGAACAGAUGAGGAGCUUGCUCCUCUGACGUUAGCGGCGGACGGGUGAGUAACACGUGGAUAACCUACCUAUAAGACUGGGAUAACUUCGGGAAACCGGAGCUAAUACCGGAUAAUAUAUUGAACCGCAUGGUUCAAUAGUGAAAGACGGUUUUGCUGUCACUUAUAGAUGGAUCCGCGCCGCAUUAGCUAGUUGGUAAGGUAACGGCUUACCAAGGCAACGAUGCGUAGCCGACCUGAGAGGGUGAUCGGCCACACUGGAACUGAGACACGGUCCAGACUCCUAGGGGAGGCAGCAGUAGGGAAUCUUCCGCAAUGGGCGAAAGCCUGACGGAGCAACGCCGCGUGAGUGAUGAAGGUCUUCGGAUCGUAAAACUCUGUUAUUAGGGAAGAACAAAUGUGUAAGUAACUAUGCACGUCUUGACGGUACCUAAUCAGAAAGCCACGGCUAACUACGUG